GCCCGAGACUCACACAUUCCACAUGCCGCAUGGUGAGGUCACCAUCACACUGCAGGAUGUGGAGGUUCUUCUUGGACUUCCUGUUGAUGGUGACGUUGUAACUGGGAGCACACAAAAAGAAUGGGAGAAUGUGUGUGAUGAGUACCUUGGCUUUCGACCUACCAAUGAAGACCAUCUGGAACGUGCUGGCCAAAGGAUUCUCAUAAAACGGCUUUUGGAGCAAGUUGCCCAUCCACUGCCGCCUAAUGCUGAAGACGAUGAAGUGCAUAGGUACGCACGAUGCUACAUCCUAGCGCUAUUGGGGGACACAAUCUUCAUGGACAAAUCCGGUGAUAGGGUGCAUCUAAUGUGGGUGCAGCAGUUGGAAGACCUUCGCAACCCAUGAAGGUAUAGUUGGGGAAGUGCUUGCCUUGCAUGGUUGUACCGACAGUUAUGCAGGGCAAGCGAUAAGAAAGCUAGUCAGAUUGGUGGGUGUUUAUUGUUGGUCCAGUAUUGGGCGUGGGCCAGAUUCCCCUUUUUGUGCCCGGCAGUUGAGCGUGGCCCACCAGUGGGUGCUUAUGGUCCUCCAGUGCGUGGUCCACUGUCCCUUAAGUGGGUGUGGGUCCCAAAUAAGAAAAAUAGGCCCGCCCAGGUCUUCAGGGACAGGUAUCGGGAGCAAAUAGCUUUAAUGUUGCCAAACCAGGUGGUGUGACAGCCGUAUGAAGAUGAAUACGAUAACCUUCCGCCGUGGUGCGUUGUAGGGAGGGCAGUGUGGACGGCAAUCGUGCCGCUUGUAUGUUUCCAUCUAGUAGAGAAACAUACACCGGAUCGUGUCGUUCGGCAAUUUGGGAUGAUCCAAGAAAUUCCCCG